rnacentral:rRNA from 1 species
GCGAGCGGAACAACAGAUUUACUUCGGUAAUGACGUUGGGAAAGCGAGCGGCGGAUGGGUGAGUAACACGUGGGGAACCUGCCCCUAAGUCUGGGAUACCAUUUGGAAACAGGUGCUAAUACCGGAUAAUAAAGCGGAUCGCAUGAUCAGCUUUUGAAAGGCGGCGUAAGCUGUCGCUAAGGGAUGGCCCCGCGGUGCAUUAGCUAGUUGGUAAGGUAACGGCUUACCAAGGCGACGAUGCAUAGCCGAGUUGAGAGACUGAUCGGCCACAUUGGGACUGAGACACGGCCCAAACUCCUAUGGGAGGCAGCAGUAGGGAAUCUUCCACAAUGGACGCAAGUCCGAUGAGCAACGCCGCGUGAGUGAAGAAGGUUUUCGGAUCGUAAAGCUCUGUUGUUGGUGAAGAAGGAUAGAGGUAGUAACUGGCCUUUAUUUGACGGUAAUCAACCAGAAAGUCACGGCUAACUACGUGCCAGCAGCCGCGGUAAUACGUAGGUGGCAAGCGUUGUCCGGAUUUAUUGGGCGUAAAGCGAGCGCAGGCGGAAAAAUAAGUCUAAUGUGAAAGCCCUCGGCUUAACCGAGGAACUGCAUCGGAAACUGUUUUUCUUGAGUGCAGAAGAGGAGAGUGGAACUCCAUGUGUAGCGGUGGAAUGCGUAGAUAUAUGGAAGAACACCAGUGGCGAAGGCGGCUCUCUGGUCUGCAACUGACGCUGAGGCUCGAAAGCAUGGGUAGCGAACAGGAUUAGAUACCCUGGUAGUCCAUGCCGUAAACGAUGAGUGCUAAGUGUUGGGAGGUUU